GUUACUCCUUUGCGGGUUGGUUUCGCACAGUGUGAUUCUGGGAGUGUGGAAGGGAUUCAACAAUUGCCUGGGAUGGAUGCCAGUGGGAGGCAAAAAGGCAAUGGGAGGUGAGUUGAACUCAAAGAGGUCUGUAAAUAGGGGUUCACAGUUUCCCUCAGGAUUCGUGACGAGAGGGGUGUGAAUGGUUUCAGAACUCACAGAGUUAAAGAGUUCUGGUGACGUCUCUUUCCUGAGGCGUGGUUAGAAACACUUAAGGGAGGGGUUUGACUCCGUGUGUUUCAGUCUGACUUUCGGACGUGAUGCGAAAGGGAGAAUGUGUCAGUUCUCGCCAGGUCUGAAUUUAUGAUGUUAUUCUUCAUGAUUAAAAGGCA
rnacentral:lncRNA from 1 species